UGGCGGCUGCCCUAAUAAUGCAGUCGAGCGGACAGAUGGGAGCUUGCUCCCUGAUGUUAGCGGCGGACGGGUGAGUAACACGUGGGUAACCUGCCUGUAAGACUGGGAUAACUCCGGGAAACCGGGGCUAAUACCGGAUGGUUGUUUGAACCGCAUGGUUCAAACAUAAAAGGUGGCUUCGGCUACCACUUACAGAUGGACCCGCGGCGCAUUAGCUAGUUGGUGAGGUAAUGGCUCACCCAUUGACGAUGCGAGCCGACCUGGUAGGGUGAUCGGCCACACUGGGACUGAGACCGGCCCAGACUCCUACGGGAGGCAGCAGUAGGGAAUCUUCCGCAAUGGACGAGAGUCUGACGGAGAACCGCCGCGGGAGUCAUUAAGGUUUUCGGAUCGUAAAGCUCUGAUGUUAGGGAACAACAACUACCGUUCGAAUAGGGCGGUACCUUGACGGUACCUAACCAGAAAGCCACGGCUAACUACGUGGCAGCAGCCGCGGUAAUACGUAGGUGGCAAGCGUUGUCCGGAAUUAUUGGGCGUAAAGGGCUCGCAGGCGGUUUCUUAAGUCUGAUGUGAAAGCCCCCGGCUCAACCGGGGAGGGUCAUUGGAAACUGGGGAACUUGAGUGCAGAAGAGGAGAG
rnacentral:rRNA from 1 species